GGAUGUGCAACGCCACGAGUUCGAGCCUAGGCGCUCAUCAGUACAAACACUUGCAAUCGAGCUAUGCUCACCCUACUCUUGGUUCGCACAAAAGGUGACCGAUCCCAAGCAAUUUCAUAAUCACUUUCUCUCGACAUAUUCGACAAGAUCUCCCAUGAAGGCACAGUUAUUCAGAGCAAUGGAAGACAGGCAUAAAGUUUGCAACCAUGAC
rnacentral:lncRNA from 1 species